GUGCUUGCUUCGGCAGUACAUAUACUAAAAUUGGAAUGAUAUAGAGAAGAUUAGCAUGGCCCCUGCACAAGGAUGACAUGCAAAUUCAUGAAGCAUUCCGUAUUUUU